UCCGGUUUGUCACCGGCAGUCCCAUUAGAGUGCUCAACUGAAUGUAGCAACUAAUGGCAAGGGUUGCGCUCGUUGCGGGACUUAACCCAACAUCUCACGACACGAGCUGACGACAGCCAUGCAGCACCUGUGUCCAGGUUCCCUUUCGGGCACCGCUGCAUUUCUGCAGCGUUCCUGGCAUGUCAAAUCCAGGUAAGGUUCCUCGCGUAGUGACGAAUUAAACCACAUGUUCCACCGCUUGUGCGGACCCCCGUCAAUUCCUUUAAGUUUUAAUCUUGCGACCGUACUCCCCAGGCGGGAUGCUUAAUGCGUUAGCUGCGCCACUGAAGGGUAAACCCACCAACGGCUAGCAUCCAUCGUUUACGGCGUGGACUAC
rnacentral:misc_RNA from 1 species